GAUGAACGCUGGCGGCGUGCCUAAUACAUGCAAGUCGAGCGAACGGACGAGAAGCUUGCUUCUCUGAUGUUAGCGGCGGACGGGUGAGUAACACGUGGAUAACCUACCUAUAAGACUGGGAUAACUUCGGGAAACCGGAGCUAAUACCGGAUAAUAUUUUGAACCGCAUGGUUCAAAAGUGAAAGACGGUCUUGCUGUCACUUAUAGAUGGAUCCGCGCUGCAUUAGCUAGUUGGUAAGGUAACGGCUUACCAAGGCAACGAUGCAUAGCCGACCUGAGGGGGUGAUCGGCCACACUGGAACUGAGACACGGUCCAGACUCCUACGGGAGGCAGCAGUAGGGAAUCUUCCGCAAUGGGCGAAAGCCUGACGGAGCAACGCCGCGUGAGUGAUGAAGGUCUUCGGAUCGUAAAACUCUGUUAUUAGGGAAGAACAUAUGUGUAAGUAACUGUGCACAUCUUGACGGUACCUAAUCAGAAAGCCACGGCUAACUACGUGCCAGCAGCCGCGGUAAUACGUAGGUGGCAAGCGUUAUCCGGAAUUAUUGGGCGUAAAGCGCGCGUAGGCGGUUUUUUAAGUCUGAUGUGAAAGCCCACGGCUCAACCGUGGAGGGUCAUUGGAAACUGGAAAACUUGAGUGCAGAAGAGGAAAGUGGAAUUCCAUGUGUAGCGGUGAAAUGCGCAGAGAUAUGGAGGAACACCAGUGGCGAAGGCGACUUUCUGGUCUGUAACUGACGCUGAUGUGCGAAAGCGUGGGGAUCAAACAGGAUUAGAUACCCUGGUAGUCCACGCCGUAAACGAUGAGUGCUAAGUGUUAGGGGGUUUCCGCCCCUUAGUGCUGCAGCUAACGCAUUAAGCACUCCGCCUGGGGAGUACGACCGCAAGGUUGAAACUCAAAGGAAUUGACGGGGACCCGCACAAGCGGUGGAGCAUGUGGUUUAAUUCGAAGCAACGCGAAGAACCUUACCAAAUCUUGACAUCCUUUGACAACUCUAGAGAUAGAGCCUUCCCCUUCGGGGGACAAAGUGACAGGUGGUGCAUGGUUGUCGUCAGCUCGUGUCGUGAGAUGUUGGGUUAAGUCCCGCAACGAGCGCAACCCUUAAGCUUAGUUGCCAUCAUUAAGUUGGGCACUCUAAGUUGACUGCCGGUGACAAACCGGAGGAAGGUGGGGAUGACGUCAAAUCAUCAUGCCCCUUAUGAUUUGGGCUACACACGUGCUACAAUGGACAAUACAAAGGGCAGCGAAACCGCGAGGUCAAGCAAAUCCCAUAAAGUUGUUCUCAGUUCGGAUUGUAGUCUGCAACCCGACUACAUGAAGCUGGAAUCGCUAGUAAUCGUAGAUCAGCAUGCUACGGUGAAUACGUUCCCGGGUCU
rnacentral:rRNA from 1 species